rnacentral:rRNA from 1 species
UACGUAGGUGGCAAGCGUUAUCCGGAAUUAUUGGGCGUAAAGAGCGCGCAGGUGGUUAAUUAAGUCUGAUGUGAAAGCCCACGGCUUAACCGUGGAGGGUCAUUGGAAACUGGUUGACUUGAGUGCAGAAGAGGGAAGUGGAAUUCCAUGUGUAGCGGUGAAAUGCGUAGAGAUAUGGAGGAACACCAGUGGCGAAGGCGGCUUCCUGGUCUGCAACUGACACUGAGGCGCGAAAACGUGGGGAGCAAACAGG